UUGAGAUGAAGAUCCUGAAUACCAGAGAGGGCCGCUGACAGGUCCAGGAUUACCCUUCUAGCACCUAGCAGAGGGAGGAUUCACCACAUCAUGCUUCCUGACAUCUCUCCCUUUGAAGAGCAGUCAGACUCCUGCUUUGCUCUUCAGACUUUGUUUGGGGGUUUAACAGGUGAGGUUGCUGGGGGAACUCUUUUACAACAUCUCUCUGAAAGAAUCCGGGCUGCCAGUUUCAUUUGGUUUGGGUGUCAGUAGCAUGAUGGAAAGACAAAAAAACACAACUUGACAUCUGCAGAAAUCAAAUUUUACCUGCAACUCACCAAUUCUGUGGC
rnacentral:antisense_RNA from 1 species